UUGCCAUCAUUCAGUUGGGCACUCUAAGGAAACCGCCGGUGAUAAUCCGGAGGAAGGUGGGGAUGACGUCAAUUCCUCAUGGCCCUUACACGCUGGGCUACACACGUGCUACAAUGGCGGUGACAGUGGGCAGCAAACUCGCGAGGGUGAGCUAAUCUCCAAAAGCCGUCUCAUUUCGGAUUGUUCUCUGCAACUCGAGAGCAUGAAGGCGGAAUCGCUAGUAAUCGCGGAUCAGCAUGCCGCGGUGAAUACGUUCCCUGGCCUUGUACACUCCGCCCGUCACACCAUGGGAUUUGGUUUCACCCGAAGGCAGUUCGCUAACCGCAAGGAGGCAACUGACCACGGUGGGAUCAGCUACUGGGGUGAAGUCGUAUCAAGGUACCGUAGGGGAACCUGCGGCUGGAUCA
rnacentral:rRNA from 1 species